GACAGAGGGUGCAAACGUUGUUCGGAGUUACUGGGCGUAAAGCGCGUGUAGGCGGCCCGGCAAGUCGGAUGUGAAAGCCCUGGGCUUAACCUAGGAAGUGCAUUCGAAACUCCCGUGGCUUGAGUUCUGGAGAGGGAAGCGGAAUUCUCGGUGUAGAGGUGAAAUUCGUAGAUAUCGAGAGGAACACCGGUGGCGAAGGCGGCUUCCUGGACAGUGACUGACGCUGAGACGCGAAAGCGUGGGGAGCAAACAGG
rnacentral:rRNA from 1 species